rnacentral:rRNA from 1 species
UACGUAGGCAGCAAGCGUUGUUCGGAGUUACUGGGCGUAAAGGGUGUGUAGGCGGUUCUUUAAGUUUGGUGUGAAAUCUCCCGGCUUAACCGGGAGGGUGCGGUGAAUACUGAGGGACUAGAGUACGGGAGAGGAAAGUGGAAUUCCUGGUGUAGCGGUGAAAUGCGUAGAUAUCAGGAGGAACACCGGUGGUGUAGACGGCUUUCUGGACCGACACUGACGCUGAGACACGAAAGCGUGGGUAGCAAACAGG